rnacentral:rRNA from 1 species
UGGGAACAUACCUUUUGGUUCGGAACAACACAGGGAAACUUGUGCUAAUACCGGAUAAGCCCUUACGGGGAAAGAUUUAUCGCCGAAAGAUUGGCCCGCGUCUGAUUAGCUAGUUGGUGAGGUAACGGCUCACCAAGGCGACGAUCAGUAGCUGGUCUGAGAGGAUGAUCAGCCACAUUGGGACUGAGACACGGCCCAAACUCCUACGGGAGGCAG